CUCUAGUUGAAUGUUACAGCCGGCUUCUCCUGAAUAGAGGCAAAGCAGCAGAAUUCACCUAUGCCAACCCCUCUGCUUUUUAAAUGGGGAGACCGAGGCCCUGAAAGGGGUGGCUGUUCUGAAGGCAAUGGUCAGAUGUUCAGUAAGCCCAGGGGGACCAGGCACACUUGUGAUCGGAGCCAAUGGUGCAUGGGAAUGUGGCAGCCUUGGCAUUUCAGCAGUUACUGUAGCAGAGAAGCAGAGUGGAAAUCAAAGUUGUAUGUAGGAAAGCCAAGGCCUUCCUGCUGCUCCUGCCCCAUCCGCUCAGGUCUUGCCACCAGCAGGGGACAUGAUCCUUUUUCUUGCCCAAGGCUGAGCUGCAGUGAUGAAAAUAGACUUUCCCCACCCUACCCCAACCCAAUGAAGAGAAGUGGUUCUACUGUGCCUCUGUGAAGGCUCUGCUGGAUGGGGGUGAUGGAGGGAGCCCUGGCUAGAAGGUCAGAGAGAACUGGGUUUCAGUUCCAGCUCUCUCUGAUCUUCUUGCCAAGCUUCUGCUUUCUCACUGGUAAAUGGAGACAAGAAAGUGACUUAUCUCAUGGUGGGAAUUAAGUAGGUAAGUUUUUUUGGCGGGCCCGGUCAUAAGAGCAGCCAACUCUUCUAGGAUGCAGACUCCUUGCCAGGCGCUAUUCUAGGAUACCAGAAAGGGGUCGUGAUCCAGACCCCAAGAGAGGGUUCUUGGACCUCAUGCAAGAAAGAAUUUGGGGUGACUUCAUAGAGUGAAAGCAAGUUUAUCGGGAAAGUAAAGGAAUAAAAGAAUGGUUAUUCUAUGGGCAGAGCGGCGGUGUGGGCUGCUUGGCUGACUAUACUUAUGGUCAUUUCUUGAUUCUACACUAAACAAAAGGUGGAUUGAUUAUUCAUGAGUUUUCCAGGAAAGGGGUAGGUAAUUCUCAGAACUAAGGGUUUCUUUUCUCUUUGACCAUAAUAGGGUAACUUCCUGACGUUGCUCUGGCAUUUACAAACUGUCAUGGUGCUGGUGAGUGUCUUUUAGCAUGCUAAUGCAUUAUAAUUAGUGUAUAAUGAGCUGUGAGGAUGACCAGAGGUCACUUUAGUGGCUGUCUUGAUUUUGGGGGGUUUUGGCCAGCUUCCGUACUGCAUCCUGUUUCAUUAGCAAGUUCUUUGUGACCUGUAUCUUGCGCUGACCUCCUAUCUCAUCCUGUGACUAAGAAUGUAGUCCAGCAGUUCUUUUUUUCUUUUUCUGAGAUGGAGUCUUGCUCUCUUGCCCAGGCUGGAGUGCAGUGUGGUGAGCUCAGCUCACUGCAACCUCCACCUCCUAGGUUCAAGUGAUUCUCCUGCCUCCCAAGAAUAGCUGGGACUACAGGUGUGUGCCACCAUACCUGGCUAAUUUUUGUAUUUUUAGAAGAGACUGGGUUUCGCCAUGUUAGCCAGGCUGGUCUUGAACUCCUGACCUUAGGCAAUCCAUCCGCCUCGGCCUCCCAAAGUGCUGGGAUUACAGGCGUGAGCCACUGCGCUGAGCCAACAGCCCAGUAGUUCUUAGCCUUAUUUUACCCAGCUCCUAUUCAAGAUGGAGUCGCUCUGGUUCAAAUGCCUCUGACAUAAGGGCUUUGGUUAUUAACUUAUUUCAUUCUCACCACAAAUUUUAUGGGCAGGUAUUAUUAUUAUCUUCACUUUGCAGAAGAGGAAACUGAAACAGAGGAGGAUGAUGUAAUUUACAAUAAGUAAUUGAUGAACUGGAGUUCAUUCAGUCUGGGAAGUCUGUGUCCUUAGUUAUGAUCCCAUACUGUCUCUCACAAUGGCAUGUGGUAAGCCAGUGCAUGUGAAGUCCUUUCUACUCCCUAUUCAACUCAUGAUUUCCUGUCAGAACAGGAUCUGUCCUAUGAGAGCUGACACAUGAAACCCAGAUAUGAUAAAUCAGGAUGGAGAUUCACAAAGUCACCUUAAAAAGAUUCUUGGGUCAGUCGUGAUGGCUCACGCCUAUAAUCCCAGUACUUUGGAAGGCCGAGGUAAGUGGAUCACCUGAGGUCAGGUGUUUGAGACCAGCCUGGCCAACAUGGUGAAACCCCAUCUCAACAAAAAAUACAAAAAUUAGCCAGGUGUGGUGGUAUGUCCACUCUACUGGGAAGGCUGAGACAGGAGAAUCUCUUGAACCAAAGAGGCAGAGGUUGUAGUGAGCCAAAAUUGAGCCACUGCACUCCAGCCUGGGCGACAGAAUGAGACUCAGUCUCACACACACACACACACACACACACACACACACACACACACACACGCACACAGAUUCUCCCAGAACAGCAGGACUUGUCAAAAAUGGGACUAAGAUGUUUAUGUAGUAGAAGGAGUAGAAUGUUGAAAGGGGUUUCGCCAUCCACGAAAGGCAGAAUGUGAGGUGAAACCAGAGUCUUGACCAAUAAUAUUGGGAAUGAUAUUCCAAGGGCAUAACUAUCUGUACCGAGUCCAUCUGCCAUAGGAAAGAGGAUGUUUGAUGAAGAUGACUUGAGUUGCUGGUCUACCUGACAGCUGGCCGUCUCUCCAUAGAAAUAAAUGCACAUCCAUCUCUUUGAGUUUGGUUGAUAUGAAUCGUCUUUGAGAGAGUAAUCUAUUCUUCCUGUUCUAAUCAAAUCAGGUUUUAGAAAUGAAAAUGCAUAGGCCAAAUUCUGAAGUAGGUGGAUUUCAUAGAAAGUAAUAAAAUAAAUGUAGAACGUUGUGACUCCUCGGUGACAGCCAAUUGAACUUCUUUGGACCAUACUGUUCAGGCUGCCAUGCACGUCACCAUCUGUGACCCGUUGGCCCUUCUGCAGAGCCACACACAUUGCCUUGGGUCUUCCAUGGAGGUCACUGAUUCUAGUUUUGGCUCAUGCAUGUUUUCCCUGGAGACUCCCCAUAGUUUUGAAGUUUUCUCUUGUCUAGCUUAAAAACCUGCAGGCCUAUUGCUCUGAACUCUUUAGAAUGCUUUUUCUUCCGUGAGAUAGCCCUUCAAGAUUUUUGAUGACAGUCUCAUUACUCACAGACCAUUCUCUUGAGUGGCUCUCAUCCCUUUCUCACUUGGGACCCGGAACCUUCUUUGGCCCAGUUACCUUCCUCACAGGGUUGGUGAAUUGCAGCAUGGUUAUCUAAAGGCAAGAGAGUGGUCAGGGAUCCUACAAGGGGUCUGGGGUGUAGCUGGAGCCGAAGCAAGGCAUUUCAUGGGUGAUUUGUGUUUCAUCUUAGUGAUGAUCAUUUUCAUUUUCAUUUCUGAUUUAAUCUAUGGUUGUAUAAUAGAAGUAUAACAUUACUCUAUUGUCUAAAAAUUAAAAAAAUAUAGAGACAGGGUGGACCGGAUGCAAUGGCUCAUGCCUGUAGAUUCAGCACUUUGGGAGGCUGAAGCAGGCGGAUCACCUGAGGUCAGGAGUUUGAGACCAGCCUGGCCAACGUGGUGAAGCCCCGUCUCUACUAAAAAUACAAAAAUUAGCCAGGCAUGGUGGUGGGCAGCUGUAGUCCUAGCUACUCAGGAGGCUGAGGCAGGAGAAUUGCUUCAGCCUAGUGGAGGGUGGAGGUUGCAGUGAGCUGAGAUUGCACCACUGUACUCCCUCCUGGGCAACAGAGAGAGACUCCAUCUCAGAAAAAAAAGAGACAAGGUCUCAAUAUGUUGCCUAGGCUGGUCUCAAACUCCUGGACUCAAGCAAUCCUCC
rnacentral:lncRNA from 1 species